GAUGAACGCUGGCGGCGUGCCUAACACAUGCAAGUCGAGCGAGAAAUUUAUGGAAUAAGUCUUCGGACAAGUAAAGUAAAUGGAAAGCGGCGGACGGGCGAGUAACGCGUAGGCAACCUGCCCCAUACAGAGGGAUAGCCUCGAGAAAUCGGGAUUAAAACCUCAUAAUGCCAAAGGGUCACAUGAUUCAUUGGUCAAAGAUUUAUCGGUAUGGGAUGGGCCUGCGUCUGAUUAGCUAGUUGGUGAGGUAACGGCUCACCAAGGCUGCGAUCAGUAGCAGAACUGAGAGGUUCAUCUGCCACAUUGGAACUGAGACACGGUCCAAACUCCUACGGGAGGCAGCAGUGAGGAAUAUUGCACAAUGGGCGAAAGCCUGAUGCAGCAACGCCGCGUGAGCGAAGAAGGCCUUUGGGUCGUAAAGCUCUGUCCUUGGGGAAGAAAAAAUGAACGGUACCCUUGGAGGAAGCCCGGCUAACUACGUGCCAGC
rnacentral:rRNA from 1 species